rnacentral:rRNA from 1 species
AGAGUUUGAUCCUGGCUCAGAGCGAACGCUGGCGGCGUACUUAACACAUGCAAGUCGAACGAGGAUCAUCCGUGUAGUAAUACAUUGGUGGUCCUAGUGGCGCACGGGUGAGUAACACGUGGGUGACCUGCCCUAGAGCUCGGGAUACCCCCUCGAAAGGGGGGCUAAUACCGGAUACGUUCCUCGGUCGAAAGAUCGGGGAGGAAAGGUGGCGCAAGCUGCCGCUCUUGGAGGGGCUCGCGGCCUAUCAGCUAGUUGGCGGGGUAACGGCCCACCAAGGCUAUGACGGGUAGCUGGUCUGAGAGGACGACCAGCCACACUGGGACUGAAACACGGCCCAGACUCCUACGGGAGGCAGCAGUGGGGAAUUUUGCACAAUGGGGGAAACCCUGAUGCAGCAACGCCGCGUGGAGGAUGAAGCCCUUUGGGGCGUAAACUCCUUUCGAUCGGGACGAUAAUGACGGUACCGGAAGAAGAAGCACCGGCUAACUCUGUGCCAGCAGCCGCGGUAAUACAGAGGGUGCGAGCGUUGUUCGGAAUUACUGGGCGUAAAGCGCGCGUAGGUGGUUCAGUAAGUUGGAUGUGAAAUCCCCGGGCUCAACCUAGGAACUGCAUCCAAAACUGCUGAGCUAGAAUACGGUAGAGGGUGGUGGAAUUUCCUGUGUAGCGGUGAAAUGCGUAGAUAUAGGAAGGAACACCAGUGGCGAAGGCGACCACCUGGACUGAUACUGACACUGAGGUGCGAAAGCGUGGGGAGCAAACAGGAUUAGAUACCCUGGUAGUCCACGCCGUAAACGAUGUCAACUAGCCGUUGGAAUCCUUGAGAUUUUAGUGGCGCAGCUAACGCAUUAAGUUGACCGCCUGGGGAGUACGGCCGCAAGGUUAAAACUCAAAUGAAUUGACGGGGGCCCGCACAAGCGGUGGAGCAUGUGGUUCAAUUCGACGCAACGCGAAGAACCUUACCUGGGCUCGAAGCGCAGUGGACUGAGGUAGAAAUAUCUCUUUCUCGCAAGAGACUGCUGCGUAGGUGCUGCAUGGCUGUCGUCAGCUCGUGUCGUGAGAUGUUGGGUUAAGUCCCGCAACGAGCGCAACCCUUAUUGCCAGUUGCCAUCAUUUAGUUGGGCACUCUGGCGAAACUGCCCCGGAUAACGGGGAGGAAGGUGGGGAUGACGUCAAGUCCUCAUGGCCUUUAUGUCCAGGGCUACACACGUGCUACAAUGGCAGGUACAAACCGUCGCAAACCCGCGAGGGGGAGCUAAUCGGAAAAAGCCUGCCUCAGUUCGGAUUGGAGUCUGCAACUCGACUCCAUGAAGCUGGAAUCGCUAGUAAUCGCGGAUCAGAACGCCGCGGUGAAUACGUUCCCGGGCCUUGUACACACCGCCCGUCACAUCACGAAAGUGGGCUGUACUAGAAGCAGGUGGGCCAACCGCAAGGAGGCAGCCUUCCAAGGUAUAACUCAUGAUUGGGGUGAAGUCGUAACAAGGUAUCC